CUUCUCUCCCUAAAGCACCGUUCUCUUUCCCACCUACCCACCUUCUCUCUCUAUCUCUCUCUCCCUCUCUGUUCUUCUUCUUGAAUACAUCUCUUUCACAGAUACAUCUCUCUCCCUCUCUGUUCUUCACGGAUUCACAGUCAUCUCUCUUCUUCUUCUGAUCCUCUUAGGGUUUAUAUCCAACGCCGCCCAAUCACUCCGAUUCGAUCUCCAAUCGGGUCACAGCAAGUGCAUAGCCGAAUACAUCAAGAGCAAUUCCAUGUCUGUUGCCAAGUACACCAUAGUCAACCCCAACGAUCCCCAUCCCUUCCCCGAAUCUCACAAAAUCACCGUUAGGGUGACAUCUGCGCACGGACAUAGGUGACAUCUGUGGAGUCAGGACAGUUUUCUUUUCAGGCGGCUGAGGCUGGGGAUUACAUGACUUGCUUUUGGGCCCUAGAUCACAAGCCACAGUCUACGAUCACCAUUGAUUUCGAUUGGAAGACUGGUGUGGCUGCUAAGGAUUGGACCAACGUUGCUACGAUCACCAUUGAUUUCGAUUGGAAGACUGCUUAGUCAUGAGGAGGUACAGUCCACCAUACUAUAGUCCUCGAAGGAGAGGAUAUGGGGGUCGAACGCGAAGUCCCCCGCGAAGGGGACUUGGGAAUGGUUAUGGGAGAAGCAAGGAACAAAAUCAUGGAAGCCUUUUAGUUCGAAACAUUCCUUUGAACUGCAGAGUUUGUGUUUCAUUUUUUUCGUAACCAGGAGUCCAGACCCAAAUUGCCCAACUCAACUUUUUAUUCAGAGAACAUGUGUUGACUGGUGAGACUUGAAAGAAAGUUACUAGAAGAGUUGAGGAAGUAAAAUUCCAGUGCUGAAAUUCACCUAUGUAAUGCAAGUACUUUACCUUGGUCCUUCUCUAUUUUUUGAUUGCUCUUAGUAUUACUUUUUUUUCCCUUUUUUCUGUUCACUUAGUAGUACUCCCAUAGAUGAAUAAAGUACUUGACUAGAUAACGAAAAAUUUAAAACUGCGAACCAUCACCUAUUGGAGGGAGUAUAUCCUGCUAUUUAGUAUUCUCCCAAGUGAUGCAUUUCUUUCUGGACCUGGGAGCAAUAUUGAGGUAUGUAAACUUAAAAACAUAGGCUUUUGCAAUUGAAGUAUAUAACUGAAAACUCAGACCCAUUGAAACCAAUACACUAUUCUUCAAUUGAUAUUCCUUGUUCUAUUAAAGAAGCUGUAUAAAUAAUACAUAUUUUUGCUAUUUAGUAGGAGAGUCCAUGCAACAUUUACUUAAUUUUUUGUGACAUAUUUUUUUCAUUCAUUUUAAAGAUGCCUAAUUUAAUUAUUAUUUUUUUAAACCUAUCUCUUAUGGUAUUGUGGAACUAUAUAUAUGACAUGGAAAAUAAGUAUGGUAGUUUGUGUUUGAAUUUUAUAGAGUAUGUCUAUACGACAUGGAUAAUAUUGCCUUUCCUUUCAGCUUCAAGGGUAUCAAAUUCUUUGUUGGCUUUGUUCUAGAGGCAUAAAUAAUUUUGUAUCCAUAGUAUUAGGGUGUUUCUGAGAAUUAGUGUUCUGCCAUCUCUGGUUUCCCUUUCUAUGGUAUAUUCAUUUUUAUUCAAGUAUAUUUUUAGGGUUCAUUUGUCUUUAUAACCAAGUUAUUUAUCAAAAACGAGGAAAGAAAAGUGUAAAUUUUGAAUUUUGUUUUUU